rnacentral:tRNA from 1 species
GGUCUGGUGGUGUAGUGUUUACACGCCUGCCUAACACGCAGGAGGUCGCCCGGUUCGAUCCCGGCCGAGAUCA